rnacentral:rRNA from 1 species
AACGUAGGAGGCGAGCGUUAUCCGGAUUUACUGGGCGUAAAGCGCACGCAGGUGGCUUAGCAAGUCGGACAUGAAAGCUCCUGGCUUAACUGGGAGAGGUGGUUCGAAACUGCUGAGCUUGAGGUUGGGAGAGGGACGUGGAAUUCCCGGUGUAGUGGUGGAAUGCGUAGAUAUCGGGAGGAACACCAGUGGCGCAAGCGGCGUCCUGGCCCACACCUGACGCUGAGGUGCGAAAGCGUGGGGAGCAAACAGG